GAUGAACGCUGGCGGCGUGCCUAAUACAUGCAAGUCGAGCGAACAGACGAGGAGCUUGCUCCUCUGACGUUAGCGGCGGACGGGUGAGUAACACGUGGAUAACCUACCUAUAAGACUGGGAUAACUUCGGGAAACCGGAGCUAAUACCGGAUAAUAUAUUGAACCGCAUGGUUCAAUAGUGAAAGACGGUUUUGCUGUCACUUAUAGAUGGAUCCGCGCCGCAUUAGCUAGUUGGUAAGGUAACGGCUUACCAAGGCAACGAUGCGUAGCCGACCUGAGAGGGUGAUCGGCCACACUGGAACUGAGACACGGUCCAGACUCCUACGGGAGGCAGCAGUAGGGAAUCUUCCGCAAUGGGCGAAAGCCUGACGGAGCAACGCCGCGUGAGUGAUGAAGGUCUUCGGAUCGUAAAGCUCUGUUAUUGGGAAAGAACAAAUGUGUAAGUAACUAUGCACGUCUUGACGGUACCUAAUCAGAAAGCCACGGCUAACUACGUG
rnacentral:rRNA from 1 species